AACGACAACUGGGAUAGCAAAGUCAUUUCAAUCGCGUACAUGCCGCUCACGAUUUAAUUAAUCAUUUCGAGGCUCGUUUUUGGUGUCACUUUGAUCUAGAUCUUGCAGCUGAAAGCAGUCCUGCAUUCAGAGUGCCAAUAGCGACCUCCACGCACAAGGAUUCCUGAAUUGAUAAUUUUAGAAGUAAGAGUUCUUCGGCUUGAUUGCAGAGCAGCAUAAAGAGCAAGCAAGUAAUUCGAAAACGGCUUUGAGGAAAAGUGCUUGUGACCGAUAUUUGAUAUGUCGCAACUUCGCAAGAGGACAGCAGCGACCGUUGAGGAGGUGUGUAAGAGGAUGUAUGCGAAAAGACACGCUUAUAUCUCAGUUCUCUGCAGCAGAGGAAGGCUCCAGUCUCUUCAUCACGUUCUCAUGGAGUCAGAUCUGAGCUGCCCUGUAUCUGUAGGAGACCGUGGACGAUGUCGACGAGAAAAAAAGCGCAGAAAAGAAUGAGUGCGUGACUCCAUUAUACUGUUGUCUCAUAGUCUGCAGUUUCAGCUGCCCUGCUGAAAAGUUCCCUGCUUUUUAAAGUAAUAGUCUAGCUGUGUGUGCAGGGACCUGCCGACGUACUGGGAAAUCGUGAAAUUUGUCCUUGUGGGGAUUA
rnacentral:lncRNA from 1 species